GAUGAACGCUGGCGGCGUGCCUAAUACAUGCAAGUCGAGCGAAUGGAUUAAGAGCUUGCUCUUAUGAAGUUAGCGGCGGACGGGUGAGUAACACGUGGGUAACCUGCCCAUAAGACUGGGAUAACUCCGGGAAACCGGGGCUAAUACCGGAUAACAUUUUGAACCGCAUGGUUCGAAAUUGAAAGGCGGCUUCGGCUGUCACUUAUGGAUGGACCCGCGUCGCAUUAGCUAGUUGGUGAGGUAACGGCUCACCAAGGCAACGAUGCGUAGCCGACCUGAGAGGGUGAUCGGCCACACUGGGACUGAGACACGGCCCAGACGCCUACGGGAGGCAGCAGUAGGGAAUCUUCCGCAAUGGACGAAAGUCUGACGGAGCAACGCCGCGUGAGUGAUGGAGGCUUUCGGGUCGUAAAACUCUGUUGUUAGGGAAGAACAAGUGCUAGUUGAAUAAGCUGGCACCUUGACGGUACCUAACCAGAAAGCCACGGCUAACUACGUGCCAGCCGCCGCUGUAA
rnacentral:rRNA from 1 species